GCCAGUGCGGCACGCUCGGCCUGCACGCGGCGCUGCCGCUCGCGCACGGGCUGCUGCGCGACGGCGGCCGCAUGCUGUUCGUCGCCGCCGACAAAUGGGUGUAUCCGUUCCUGCGCACCUACGGCGAGUUCGUCGCCUACGGCGACGGCGCCGCGGCGAUCCUGCUCGGCCACGCCGAAACCGACGCCGAAGCCGACGCGGCGCAGGCCCGCGUACUCGGCCAUGCGCUCGCGCACGGCGAGCCGAUCGCCGACCCUUGGGCGCGGCAGCCGGCCGAGCUCGAACGCGCGCUCGUCGCGCCGACCGUCGACGCGGCGCGCGCGGCGCUCGCCGACGCGGGCGUCGGCGCCGCGCGGAUCGACUGCUUCGCGCCGGGCGGCUUCAGCGCGUCGUUUCGCACGACGCUCGCGCGCGCGCUCGCGAUCCCGCCGUCGCGCCUGCAAGUGCGCGACGGCGUCGAGCAUCUGUCCACCGCCGACACGCCGCGCGCGCUCGCGCAGGCGCAGGCGUCGCUCGCGCCCGGCGAACGGCGGCUCGCGCUCUUUUGCGACACCGCGCUCGCGGGCGGCGCGGGCGCGCUCGUCGCGCAGUUGCGCGGCGCGCACGCAUCGUCUUCGUCCACCCGAACCCGGUAUCCGUCAUGAGCGCCUAUCAAGUGAGCCUGCGCGAACUGCGCUUCUUUCUGUGGGAACUGUGCGACGCCGAAGCGGCGUUCCUGUCGCACGCGCCGUACCGAACGCACGACCGCGCAUACUACGACCGCCUGCUCGAGCGCGCGCGUGACUUCGCGCUCGAGAUCGGCGAGAGCUAUCGCGCGAGCGACAUCGAAUCGUGCUCGCUGCGCGACGACGGCACGGUGCGCAUCCCCGCCGAUUUCCACGCGCUGUGGCCGCGCUUUCGCGACGAAUGGGCGGGCCUGCUGUUCGAUCGCCAUUCGGCCGAGGCGGGCGACGCGCCGCACGCGGACGUGCCGAUGGUCGUCAAGCAAGCGGUGUUCGAGAUGCUGAUGGGCGCGAACCCGUCGUUCAUGACCUACGGCGGCUUCACGCAUCCGGCCUGCAAGCUGUUGACGCUGCACGGCACGCCGGAGCAAAAGGCGCUGCGCGGGCCCCUGCUGCGCUACGACUGGGAUGCGUGCUUCUGCGCGACCGAGCCGCAGGCGGGCUCGGACAUGACGGCCGUGCGCACGGUCGCGACGCCGCUUGGCGACGGCGUCUGCGCGGUGACGGGCGAGAAGGUCUACAUCUCGGCCGGCAUGCACGACCUGACCGAGAACACGCUGUACUUCGUGCUCGGCCGCAUCGGCUCGACGGCGCCCGAUUCGUUCUCGCUGUCGUGCCUGAUCGUGCCGCGCUUCUGGCGCGACGACG
rnacentral:rRNA from 1 species